CAGGUUCCUUUGUCUUGGACCUCCACUAGACAUCAAGGAAACAUGCCAAAAAAGUAAACAACAAAGGCCCCCACACCUUUCCAAACUACAACCCAAAAUAAGUUGAUCUGAGAAACAAAUUGCAAUGCCGCAUGCAAAGCAGAUGUGUCCAAAUUCAUGUAGGACCAGACACAUCCUGAACCUUUCAGUGCAACAGCUGUUCAAGACUUUCUUCAAAAUCAUCCAAGCACAAGGGUUGAUAAAAUACACACAAAAUGGGUUAUAACUGCUGGCUGUGGAGGCUUUCUGCUUUGGAACCAUAGAAUCACAGCUCUCACAGUUGGAAGAGAGACCAUUCACCCCAAUCCUUCAGUUACAGGGAGGAAGCUGAAGUCCCGGGAGGUGAAAUGGCUUGGGAAAGGUCACCCAGCUAUUGAGUGUCUGACAAGAGAGUGAUUCCUGUCCAUCCUCUCCUCCUGGUCAAACCCCCUCCCCUGGGGAAGCAGGGAAACACUCCCUCGGAGCUCUGGUGUUCUGACACUACAUGCCCACAAAGGCUGCUGCCACACCCACAAGGCUCCAUUUACUCAUCCUUCCCCAGGUUGCCAUCUGACCCUAGCUUGGUGAUGCUCAAACCAACCAAAACACCAGGCUCUUUGCUGAAACCUCUGAGAAGGGUUCCUGGCUCCAGGUCAGCCUCAAUGGAAUAAAGGAAGAUCACCUACCACUUCAAACUGAAGAGCUGAAGGAGUUGUAUCAAGAUACAGAGUGCAGCAAGUAUAGGAAACAUUAGAGAAACUGACCUGUCUGGAGAUGGCAAGCUGCAGAGCCAGGAUCUAAAAUGGCAGCUGAAGCUUGUCGGCUUUGCGGAGGGCCUCGAGGUGAAGAAUCCAUAGGCCCUGAGGUCUGAUCUCCCCAGCAGAUGGGUCUCUGUGUCGUGCUGGGACGCAGUGAAGCCAUGUGUGCACUUGGCAAGGCGAUGGCUGCUUUGGUUAAGUUUGGCUUGGCCUUCCUUAAUGCUACU
rnacentral:lncRNA from 10 species